GCCGGCCUAGCUCAAUUGGUAGAGCAACUGACUUGUAAUCAGUAGGUUGAGGGUUCAAGUCCUCUGGCCGGCACCA
rnacentral:tRNA from 1 species